UCAGCAUUUUGGAACGUCUGCCUGACUCAAUAGGAGGUGAUCAGAGACCUCAAUCAUCUGGAUUGGUAAGAGUCUUACCUUACCGUAAUCAAAACUCUAAACUAAUUGGUUCUUCUCAUCGUCAAAAUCUAGGGUUUCUGUUGUAUCUUUCAUUUCAAGAAGUAAUUGGUUCCCCUGCCCCUUUCAACAAUGCAUCUGGAUGUCAAUCCAAGUUAGGUUUUGCUGGAUUUUCCAUCGCCGCCAUCCUUCGUGCUUUGAUUUUUGGUAAAUCUUUCGUAUGCUUUCCUCUUUCCCGUUUACCUGUUUAAAGCUCUUUUCUCCCCCUUUCUCUCAGAUGUGGAUCAACUUUAUGAACUCUACUAUCCAGAGUUUCUGCAGUUUUACUGAUUUGUUCACGGCAAGUACCAAGGAAUUUGAUUACGAAAGGGAAGAGAGAGGACAUACGAUGGAGUGUUGAUUAGGUACUUGAGAGGAGGGAAAAUGGAGAAGACCCAAUUCGGAACGAGUGUCCCAUGUUGUUCAUGAAGUCGAUGUAAGUGACGUAGCCAGCAACAGAGACGAUGGAUGCAGUUCCAUUUAGAGCUAUUGUCAACAUUGGUAUUGUGAACAGGGCAUAGUAUGCUACGAGCUCUGCAAAUGGAUGUAUCACAGAUGCGACACCGACAUUCAUUAUAUUAUUACAGUUCAAAGCUCAAAUUGUUUAAAAGGAGAGGUACUUACAAGAAAUAGGUUCGGUGACAAUUGAGGAAUCGUGAUGAGAAUGGUAACGAGAGUAAAGAUAAUGAUGGUGCAGUGCUCUAUGAAGCCAGUAGUAGAGGAAUUCCAUAGGGCAGGCAUGGAGCAACAUGGUUAUAAGCACACUAUCCAUUCUCCCUAUAGGAUCAGGAAGCAUUAUCUGCUUUCAAAGAUGGUUCUCACGGGAAUAUUUUCCUGACUCUCAUUGCAAGGCGUUCUCGACAUUAUGCUGGGAUACUUGAAACGUGGAGUGAUUGAGAAAGGCAGUGUGUGGCAAAUGAUGUUGAGACUGAAGAUCAUAUAAUGUUUUUACAUGAUUAUCUAAAACAGGUUGCUAAUUUACAUUCCCAGUUGAAUACUCAAAGUCAGAUGGAGUAUUAAUCAACUGAUGUUGCAUAUUGAUGCUCAAAAUUGCC